UUUUUUUUCUCUUUUAGAGUUUUUAUGGUUUCAUGUAAGCAGUUAAUGUAAAUAUUGUGAGCAUUACAGGUCAUGCAGUGUUGUAACAUUUUAAAAAAUGUUGCACCUACUUUAUGAUUAAAAAACUGGUCACUCAUACUUGAAUUUUGCCCAUAGAGCCAUUUCUUUCUCUUUGCAUUGAAGCAUAAUAUACUUUUUUGAUGGAGGCCCAACCCUUCUUUCUAUCUUAUUAUUUUUUGUUUAAUAAAUCUAUAUUUUUUCUAAUAGAAGACUUAAAAAUGAAAAUUUAAAAAGUACUUUUUGCCUACUUUCUAAUUUAAGAGAGAAUUCCUAUAUUUAAAAGGUGGAAAAAAAAAAUACUCCAUUGUGGAAAGUGGAACACCACUUUAUAUGUCAUUAAUAUGGCACAAUCACACGAAACUGAACUGGCUGAGUGAAGUGAGCCCACGAUGUCAAGCAGUAUCUCAGUAGAUUAGGGAACGACAUGAUUCUUUGAGAAUGUAAAGUGUUACAUAUUCUUGUCUAUUUAUUUAUUUAUUUAUUAUGCUUUCUUUUGCUAAGUGGGUGACAAUGUGGUUGAGUCAUUCAGAUGACAUUCAAAUUAAAGGAAAUAUUCCUCUUUCUAUUAUGGUGCAUUUUGUGAACACCAUAAAAAAAAUAUUUUCAUUUAUUUCAAUGGAUUUUCUUCAUAUUUUCACUUCUGACAGAAAAUGUUUGGCUGGUAUCAGCUGCAAAAAUAAUAUCCACAUAGUUUAAAAAGAAAAACUUGCAAAAAUCAAAAAAAACCCCAACCCACCUCUGAUGUCCCAGGUCUGUUAUCCUCACAGUCUGAGGUUUUAGGGGUUAAAAAGAGCUUAAAAUUUAAAGGUAUUUCCUAAAUCAGCUCUGCAGAAGGUGUCUAAGUAAUGUGAUAUCCUUUUGGAGUCCCUGAGUUUGAUGGUAUAGAGAUAUUAGAGGGCUCAUGGUGGACUGAAUUACCUUAGGACUGCUACCUUUCUUAGCUACAGUUUGUAUUUUGCUAUGUAGGGUUGUAAUGUGAGAAUUCCAGAAGAGCCGUAGCAUAAAAGUGCUUUUCUAUUUUUAAAAAAAAACCCAUUCUAGUCUUACUAAGAAUUAGAGAUUUUUUUAAUAUCAGUUUUGUAAUUUUUGAUAAAGUUGUCAAUAUUAUGAUUAAAUCACCAGAAAAAAAA
rnacentral:lncRNA from 1 species